rfam:Stegodyphus mimosarum contig49662, whole genome shotgun sequence.
GCCUUCGUGGUGUAGUGGUCAGUACGCUCGACGCGUAACCGAGAGGUCCGUGGUUCGAUUCCCGGCGAAGGCG